UCGACCUCCCCAGGAAUGUGAUCUUAAUCCACCAGUCUGGAAUUUCUUUAGCACCAAUGAGGUCAUCUGUCCCAGGGGCCUCUCCAUCCCCCGAGGAAGAAGUGUGAUAGAGCCUCCACCUUCCUCCAAAGAUGACGCCUGGCCUGAAACUAACCUGCUCUUCUUUCACUCACAACUCCUUGCCCCACCCUCCUGCCUAAGAAAACCUUUCGUUUUGUAUGCGCCCCCCUCGGAGGCCCUGCUGUUUAUCGGCGGCGGUGCUGCCCAUCUGUGAAUCGCUUCACGAAGCCAGUUAGGAAUCUUCAAAUUUACUGGGCUGAAUUUGGUUUUGUUAACAAUAUUUACCUUUGAAAUUGAACACAACGGUCAUGGCUCGUCCAUAUUCUGAGUAUGGGAAGCGCGUUUGACAUCAAAACCUGACUGGGACCCCUCAAGAGCCGUACUUUUCACCUACGUCCGAGUUUGCUGUGUGCACGAUGUCCCGGGGCUGCGGUCCCCCAGGAGGAGCCCCUGACCUGGGAGGUGCAGCUUCAGGAAGGAAAACCGGCCACCUUUACCAGAUAUCGGUUGUUGGGGGUUGAAUUGUGUCCCCGCAGAAAGAGAUGUUGAAGCCCCAGGACUUGUGAAUGGGGCCUUAUUUGGAAAUAAGGUCUUUGCAGAAGCAGGAGAAACUCUGAGAACAGAGAAGAAAUUUACCCUUUUGUGGGGAAAUUUACAUUUAUAAGGGAAAUCUCCAUUUCUAACACAUCUCCCCCUCUGUACCCGGAAAAGGAGGACGAUUCUAAAUCACAGAACUGCUUAACCUUGGAGAAGGCAGCAGACUGAAAUCUGCAUAACAACCUUACCCUUGUUUACUGUGCUUUUCCUUGUAACCUCCCUUAACUGGCUCCCCUCCCCCCUUCCCCCUCCCCCAACAUCUUUGUCUUUAUGUAAAGAUGGUGUUUAAAAUGAUGGCUUGGAUACCUCCUGGAGUUUACUAAAUUUUCCUGGUGUCUCCCAUGUAUACCUGCGGUAUACAUGUUAAUAAACUUGCAUUUGUUUUUCUCCUG